GUCCAUGCCGUAAACGGUGGGCGCUAGGUGUAGGGGUCUUCCACGACUUCUGUGCCGUAGCUAACGCAUUAAGCGCCCCGCCUGGGGAGUACGGCCGCAAGGCUAAAACUCAAAGGAAUUGACGGGGGCCCGCACAAGCGGCGGAGCAUGUGGAUUAAUUCGAUGCAACGCGAAGAACCUUACCUGGGCUUGACAUAUACAGGACUGGGCCAGAGAUGGUCUUUCCCUUUGUGGCUUGUAUACAGGUGGUGCAUGGUU
rnacentral:rRNA from 1 species